rnacentral:antisense_RNA from 1 species
GCCAAAGCGGCCUCGAAGGGGGUCCCGUGUCUGCGGCGGGCGGCCCCCGGCGCGGAGGGCAGGGCGCGGGGAGCCCGGGCUCCCGGCGUCGGCGGAUGGCGGGAGCCCGGGGGCCGCGGGCUCGCAGGGCAGCCGGCGAGAGACGAGACGCCGAGAAUAUGCUUUUUGUCUAAUGAUGUUAGAUAAAAAGCAAAUUGGAGCAGUUUUCUUAUUCGAGUUCAAAAUGGGUCAUAAAGCAGCGAAGACAACUCAAAACAUCAGUAACACAUUUGGCCCAGGAACUGCUAACAAACAUACAGUGCAGUGGUGGCUUAAGAAGUUUUGCAAAGAAGAGAGCCUUGAAGGUGAGGAACGUGAUAUGGGCUAUGGGAAGUUGACAACGACCAAUUGAGAGCAAUCAUUGAACUACAUGAAAAAUUACAGAAGAACUCAGCGUUGACUAUUCUACGGUCAUUAGGGUCGUUCAGCAUUUGAAGCAAAUUGGAAAAACUAUCAUUUUGAAGUGUAGUCUUCUUUUAUCCUAUGCAACAACAAACCAUUUCUCAAUCGGAUUGUGACAUGUAAUGAAAAGUGGAUUUUAUACAACAACCAGCUCAGUGGUUGGACCAAGAGGCAGCUCCAUAGCAGUUCCCAAAGCCAAACUUGCACCAAAAAAAGGUCACGGUCACUGUUUGGUGGUCUGCUGCCCAUCUGAUCCACUACAGUUUUCUGAAUCCUGGCGAAACCAUUACAUCUGAGAAGUAUGCUCAGCAAAUUGAUAAGAUGCACCAAAAACUGCAAUGCCUGCAGCCGGCAUUGGUCAACAGAAAGGGCCCAAUUCUUCUCCACGACAACACCUGACUGCAUGUCGCACAACCAGGGCUUCAAAAGUUGAAGGAAUUGGGCUACGAAGUUUUGCCUCAUCCAUCAUAUUCACCUGACCUUUCGCCAACUGACUACCACUUCUAGCAUCUUGACAACUUUUUGCAGGGAAAACACUUCAGCGGGAUGCAGAAAAUGCUUUCCAAGAGUUCGUCAAAUCCUGAAGCACGGAUUUUUAUGCUACAGGAAUAAACAUUUCUCAUUAGCAAAAAUGUGUUGAUUGUAAUGGUUCCCGUUUUGAUUAAUAUAAUGUGUUUUAGCUAGUUACAAUGAUUUAAAAUUUGCAGUCUGGAAAUUUAACUUUUGCUCCAACUUAAUAUUUCUAUGGUAAAUCCUUGCAAACAUGGAAACAAUGCAUUUGGCCCAGUGCUUUGUGGUUAUGUACUCUUUUUCUUUUUUUUUAAUAGAUGGCAUUGGCCGGGCAUGGUGGCUCAUGCCUGUAAUCCCAGCACUUUGGGAGGGUGAGGUGGAUGGAUCACCUGAGGUCAGGAGUUCAAGAACAGCCUGGCCAACAUGGUAAAACCCCGUCUCUACUAAAAACACAAAAAAAUUAGCUAGGCGUGGUGGCGGGCAUUUAAUUCCAGCUACUUAAUGAGGCUGCGACAGGAGAAUCAUUUGAACCCGGGAGGCGGAGGUUGCAGUGAGCCGAGAUCACGCCAUUGCACUCCAGCCUGGGCAAUGAGUGAAACUCUAUCUCAAAAAAAAAUA